GACCCUGUAGCAUAAUGUUAGUGCGUCUCGCCAAUGUACGGUAGUGGCUGGCAUUCCACGAGAGGCUCUCAGUUCAAGUCUGAGUGGGGUCA